rnacentral:misc_RNA from 1 species
GAUGAAGAACGUAGCGAAAUGCGAUAAGUAAUGUGAAUUGCAGAAUUCAGUGAAUCAUCGAAUCUUUGAACGCACAUUGCGCCCCCUGGAAUUCCGGGGGGCAUGCCUGUUCGAGCGUCUCAGGGACGAACCCUCGCGCGGGUGUACGCGCGGUCGUGGCUGCGGUGGCGUGCCCGAGGCGGCGGCCACCGCGCUGGAAUCCAUGGGCGGACGCCUGCCGCGUGGCCGAGCGUGAUAUGACGCAUUGGCGCUCGCACGCGGCGAGGCUGCCAGCCCUGGCCCGUCUGUCGGGCGGGGGAGAGCAAGACACGUGAACGCCUCGAAUCAGGUAGGGAUACCCGCUGAACUUAAGCAUAUCAAUAAGCGGAGGA